rnacentral:lncRNA from 1 species
AAUGAACGUGGACCGGACUUGGGGAGGCAAUCGAGGUCUUGAAAUCGGUUGGAACCUAUGCUUGCCGGACUGGGCUCAGAUUAUUAUUAUUUCGAUGCCUCCGUGAAAAACGAAAGAAGCCGAUCAUCGGCUCAUCGCCGCGUCCAACCAGGUGGGUGGUGGUAGACGAAGGAACGCCGUGCGGCGGAGUACGCCGCCGGCACACACACACAUCUGACGUGCUCUCGUCCCGACUCCCGCGGAUCUGUUGCAGGCACCUGACCUCCACGGUGAUCGGCACCACGCGUGCGGGGGUCCUGGUCUCCUGGACACCCCAGCGCGACGGUGCGAGCGAGGUGACACGGGAACGGGCGGAGGAUCUGAUCUCACGUCAGCUGACGCUACGGCGGUAUGUGUUGAGAAACCCUAAUGAAGGGUUAUGUGGGUAAAUACCGGCUUUGCCCCUGAGGGGUCUCACAUCUCUAUAUAAGGAGUCUGUACACCUCUUUAUAUUACAGAGAUCAAAAAGAGGCCAGAGGUCCAACCCUAUAUCCAGUGUCUCGUGUGUUUCUUCUGUCGUGCUUAUGGGAAGAGAGACGGAUCAUCUACAGCUUCUUGCGCCUCUACUGCUGACGGGAGGGAAGAGAGCGGAUCUGGUGAUCCGUGGUAACGUAGUUCUCAACACGUUAUCAGCACGCUCUACCUCGACGUUGCCGCGAGAUCAAAUCUGCAUCAAGUCUCCGUCAAGCCGGCAAGUCUCUGGCCUAGCCGAACUGUCCUACGCGACAGACUUUGAUUCUCUCUCUACGUAAUGGAGUGGUAUGUCUGUAUGUCUUUCUAAGUCGAUUGGAUCUACUGUUCUCGAAGAACAGGCGGCGCGACGGCCUUCACAGUGGCCUCCGCUGCUUAUUGUGUGGAACACCAGAGCCGACCACGCAUGUGAGUCGUCGAUGUCUCGUCGUGCUCACACCGGCCUCCAGCCUGCAGCUGCAGCAGGGCUAGAUCAGAGUCUACGUCGGAGAAAUCAAAGGGUUCUGGUAGCUGCUAAAGUGGAACCGCGUGAUAUACUGGAUGGCAGCUAUGGGCUGUGAACCAGUCAUGAAGAUAAGGACGUGCGCGAAAGAGAGUGAAAACUGGAUCUCUCUCUCCCCUCGCUCCCCGUGCGGCACUGCAUGCCACGGAUAAGCAGCUACUUCAUCCAACCGACGUAAGAAAAGAUCCGGUCAAAGUGCAUGAGGUGCAUACAUGCAAUGGCCAUUUUGCAUGUGCGGUCAACAAAAAAAAGCCACGGUCGUGGGAUUCAUAGCCUGCUUAUGCGCCUCCUUAGCAUUUUUUAUUUAAUUCUACUUAGUUGCUAAUCUCAUUUUUUUAUAU